UUAAGUUAUUAAGGGCGCACGGUGGAUGCCUUGGCACUAGAAGCCGAUGAAGGACGUUACUAACGACGAUAUGCUUUGGGGAGCUGUAAGUAAGCUUUGAUCCAGAGAUUUCCGAAUGGGGAAACCCAGCAUGAGUUAUGUCAUGUUAUCGAUAUGUGAAUACAUAGCAUAUCAGAAGGCACACCCGGAGAACUGAAACAUCUUAGUACCCGGAGGAAGAGAAAGAAAAUUCGAUUCCCUUAGUAGCGGCGAGCGAAACGGGAAGAGCCCAAACCAACAAGCUUGCUUGUUGGGGUUGUAGGACACUCUAUACGGAGUUACAAAGGACGACAUUAGACGAAUCAUCUGGAAAGAUGAAUCAAAGAAGGUAAUAAUCCUGUAGUCGAAAAUGUUGUCUCUCUUGAGUGGAUCCUGAGUACGACGGAGCACGUGAAAUUCCGUCGGAAUCUGGGAGGACCAUCUCCUAAGGCUAAAUACUCUCUAGUGACCGAUAGUGAACCAGUACCGUGAGGGAAAGGUGAAAAGCACCCCGGAAGGGGAGUGAAAUAGAACCUGAAACCGUGUGCUUACAAGUAGUCAGAGCCCGUUAAUGGGUGAUGGCGUGCCUUUUGUAGAAUGAACCGGCGAGUUACGAUUUGAUGCAAGGUUAAGCAGUAAAUGUGGAGCCGUAGCGAAAGCGAGUCUGAAUAGGGCGUUUAGUAUUUGGUCGUAGACCCGAAACCAGGUGAUCUACCCUUGGUCAGGUUGAAGUUCAGGUAACACUGAAUGGAGGACCGAACCGACUUACGUUGAAAAGUGAGCGGAUGAACUGAGGGUAGCGGAGAAAUUUCAAUCGAACCUGGAGAUAGCUGGUUCUCUCCGAAAUAGCUUUAGGGCUAGCCUCAAGUGAUGAUUAUUGGAGGUAGAGCACUGUUUGGACGAGGGGCCCCUCUCGGGUUACCGAAUUCAGACAAACUCCGAAUGCCAAUUAAUUUAACUUGGGAGUCAGAACAUGGGUGAUAAGGUCCGUGUUCGAAAGGGAAACAGCCCAGACCACCAGCUAAGGUCCCAAAAUAUAUGUUAAGUGGAAAAGGAUGUGGCGUUGCCCAGACAACUAGGAUGUUGGCUUAGAAGCAGCCAUCAUUUAAAGAGUGCGUAAUAGCUCACUAGUCGAGUGACACUGCGCCGAAAAUGUACCGGGGCUAAACAUAUUACCGAAGCUGUGGAUUGUCCUUUGGACAAUGGUAGGAGAGCGUUCUAAGGGCGUUGAAGCAUGAUCGUAAGGACAUGUGGAGCGCUUAGAAGUGAGAAUGCCGGUGUGAGUAGCGAAAGACGGGUGAGAAUCCCGUCCACCGAUUGACUAAGGUUUCCAGAGGAAGGCUCGUCCGCUCUGGGUUAGUCGGGUCCUAAGCUGAGGCCGACAGGCGUAGGCGAUGGAUAACAGGUUUGAUAUUCCUGUACCACCUAUAAUCGUUUUAAUCGAUGGGGGGACGCAGUAGGAUAGGCGAAGCGUGCGAUUGGAUUGCACGUCUAAGCAGUAAGGCUGAGUAUUAGGCAAAUCCGGUACUCGUUAAGGCUGAGCUGUGAUGGGGAGAAGACAUUGUGUCUUCGAGUCGUUGAUUUCACACUGCCGAGAAAAGCCUCUAGAUAGAAAAUAGGUGCCCGUACCGCAAACCGACACAGGUAGUCAAGAUGAGAAUUCUAAGGUGAGCGAGCGAACUCUCGUUAAGGAACUCGGCAAAAUGACCCCGUAACUUCGGGAGAAGGGGUGCUCUUUAGGGUUAACGCCCAGAAGAGCCGCAGUGAAUAGGCCCAAGCGACUGUUUAUCAAAAACACAGGUCUCUGCUAAACCGUAAGGUGAUGUAUAGGGGCUGACGCCUGCCCGGUGCUGGAAGGUUAAGAGGAGUGGUUAGCUUCUGCGAAGCUACGAAUCGAAAGCCCCAGUAAACGGCGGCCGUAACUAUAACGGUCCUAAGGUAGCGAAAUUCCUUGUCGGGUAAGUUCCGACCCGCACGAAAGGCGUAACGAUUUGGGCACUGUCUCAACGAGAGACUCGGUGAAAUCAUAGUACCUGUGAAGAUGCAGGUUACCCGCGACAGGACGGAAAGACCCCGUGGAGCUUUACUGUAGCCUGAUAUUGAAAUUCGGCACAGCUUGUACAGGAUAGGUAGGAGCCUUUGAAACGUGAGCGCUAGCUUACGUGGAGGCGCUGGUGGGAUACUACCCUAGCUGUGUUGGCUUUCUAACCCGCACCACUUAUCGUGGUGGGAGACAGUGUCAGGCGGGCAGUUUGACUGGGGCGGUCGCCUCCUAAAAGGUAACGGAGGCGCUCAAAGGUUCCCUCAGAAUGGUUGGAAAUCAUUCAUAGAGUGUAAAGGCAUAAGGGAGCUUGACUGCGAGACCUACAAGUCGAGCAGGGUCGAAAGACGGACUUAGUGAUCCGGUGGUUCCGCAUGGAAGGGCCAUCGCUCAACGGAUAAAAGCUACCCCGGGGAUAACAGGCUUAUCUCCCCCAAGAGUUCACAUCGACGGGGAGGUUUGGCACCUCGAUGUCGGCUCAUCGCAUCCUGGGGCUGUAGUCGGUCCCAAGGGUUGGGCUGUUCGCCCAUUAAAGCGGUACGCGAGCUGGGUUCAGAACGUCGUGAGACAGUUCGGUCCCUAUCCGUCGUGGGCGUAGGAAAUUUGAGAGGAGCUGUCCUUAGUACGAGAGGACCGGGAUGGACAUACCUCUGGUGUACCAGUUGUCGUGCCAACGGCAUAGCUGGGUAGCUAUGUGUGGACGGGAUAAGUGCUGAAAGCAUCUAAGCAUGAAGCCCCCCUCAAGAUGAGAUUUCCCAACUUCGGUUAUAAGAUCCCUCAAAGAUGAUGAGGUUAAUAGGUUCGAGGUGGAAGCAUGGUGACAUGUGGAGCUGACGAAUACUAAUCGAUCGAAGACUUAAUCAA
rnacentral:rRNA from 1 species